UACGUAGGGUGCAAGCGUUGUCCGGAAUUAUUGGGCGUAAAGAGCUCGUAGGCGGUUCGUCGCGUCGGCUGUGAAAUCCCGAGGCUCAACCUCGGGUCUGCAGUCGAUACGGGCGGACUGGAGUUCGGCAGGGGGGACUGGAAUUCCUGGUGUAGCGGUGAAAUGCGCAGAUAUCAGGAGGAACACCGGUGGCGAAGGCGGGUCUCUGGGCCGAUACUGACGCUGAGGAGCGAAAGCGUGGGGAGCGAACAGG
rnacentral:rRNA from 1 species